rnacentral:rRNA from 1 species
CAGCAGCCACGGUAAUACGUAGGUGGCAAGCGUUGUCCGGAAUUAUUGGGCGUAAAGGGCUCGCAGGCGGUUUCUUAAGUCUGAUGUGAAAGCCCCCGGCUCAACCGGGGAGGGUCAUUGGAAACUGGGAAACUUGAGUACAGAAGAGGAGAGUGGAAUUCCACGUGUAGCGGUGAAAUGCGCAGAGAUGUGGAGGAACACCAGUGGCGAAGGCGACUCUCUGGUCUGUAACUGACGCUGAGGAGCGAAAGCGUGGGGAGCGAACAGGAUUAGAUACCCCUGUAGUCCCUGUCUCUUAUAC